rnacentral:rRNA from 1 species
UCCAAAAUGGGCGAAAGCCUGAUGGAGCGACGCCGCGUGAGGGAAGAAGGUCUUCGGAUCGUAAACCUUUGUCCUCAGGGACGAUAAUGACGGUACCUGAGUGGGAAGCCAUGGCCAACUACGUGCCAGCAGCCGCGGUAAUACGUAGGUGGCGAGCGUUGUCCGGAAUUACUGGGCUUAAAUGGUGCGUAGGCGGUCCGUUAAGUCUUGUGUGAAAUGCCCCGGCUUAACCGGGGAGCGGCACAGGAAACUGGGGGACUGGAGUGCUGGAGAGGGUCGCGGAAUUCCCGGUGUAGCGGUGAAAUGCGUAGAUAUCGAGAAGAACACCAGUGGCGAAGGCGGCGACCUGGACAGUAACUGACGCUGAGGCACGAAAGCUGGGGGAGCAAAC